rnacentral:rRNA from 1 species
CCUACGGGGGGCUGCAGUGAGGAAUAUUGGUCAAUGGACGAGAGUCUGAACCAGCCAAGUAGCGUGAAGGAUGACUGCCCUAUGGGUUGUAAACUUCUUUUAUAAAGGAAUAAAACGAGGCACGUGUGCCUUUUUGCAUGUACUUUAUGAAUAAGGAUCGGCUAACUCCGUGCCAGCAGCCGCGGUAAUACGGAGGAUCCGAGCGUUAUCCGGAUUUAUUGGGUUUAAAGGGAGCGUAGAUGGGUUGUUAAGUCAGUUGUGAAAGUUUGCGGCUCAACCCCGGCGAGCCGUUGAAACUGGCGGGCUGGAGUUGGAGAGAAGUACGCGGAAUGCGCGGUGUAGCGGUGAAAUGCUUAGAUAUCGCGCAGAACCCCGAUUGCGAAGGCAGCGUACCGGCUCCACACUGACGCUGAGGCACGAAAGCGUGGGUAUCGAACAGGAUUAGAUACCCCAGUAGUC